CUCUUAUUUCUACUAAGCCUAAGCUUAGUUGCAGAGCCAUCCACGUUUCUUUUUUUUUCCUAAAUAUAUACCUAUCAUUCUAACCCUAGCCGUUUCUCUGAAUUCUUAACAAUCAUAAACAACUCAUCGCUCAUCCCUCGCUUCCUCAUUCAACCUUGAUCGAAAUCGAUUCCGUUUCCUCCUAGAGAUUCUAGACCCACGUAUCUACGUUUUCCUAUCUCGUUUUCAUAAAACGACCCGUCGACUGUUCGUACUUCAGAGGCGAACUAGAGUUAGAUUGCUUGCCAGGAUCACGUGGAUUUAGC